rnacentral:rRNA from 1 species
CUCACCAGGUCAGGACACGGUAAGGAUUGACGGACUGAAGGCUCUUUCUCGAUUCCGUGGAAAGUGGUGCAUGGCCGUUUUGGUUGGUGGAUCGAUCCGUCUGGUUAAUUCCGUUAACGAACGAGACCUCGGCACUCCGAAUAGCGCGGCGGACGUCGCGGCCUCCGGGCCGUCUUCCGCACGAGCUUCUUAGAGGGACCGUCCCCCGCCGGGGAAGGAGGUGCGAGGCAACGACAGGUCUGUGAUGCCCUUAGAUGUUCUGGGCCGCACGCGCAUUACACUGACGCGUCCAACGGGUGACUCCCGACCCGAAGGGGCCGGGGAAUCCGCAAGGCGCGUCGUGAUGGGGAUUGAACGUUGCAAUUGUUGUUCACGAACGAGGAAUUCCUAGUAGGCGCGGGUCAUCAACCCGCGCCGAUUACGUCCCUGCCCUUUGUACA